GAUAGCCAACUUGCCCAUUGUGAUGUACCAAUAAUUCUUUGGUGACCCCUAGAGGGCGCACGAGACAGGUUCAAACAAUCAAAUAAUAAUAAACAACUGCUACUACAAAUUAGAGACAGACGUCGGAACGGAUAACUAACGAUACAGAAAGAAAGAAGAAGAAUAUUAAUCAAAACAAGAAUAAUAUUGACCAAACAGAAAUCAAACACAUUUCUUUUGAUCGAAAAGCUUCAAUCCUGAUAAACCACUUCCUGAACAAAGACCUCGUUGGACCAUCGUAACAGAUCGAAACAUAUUAAUCACUUGAAUCCUGACUGGUUUUUUGAUUACCCCUUCAACCACUCCUUGACCUACGCCUUGGAUACCUCGAAUUUCCUGCUGUGAUACCCUUCCCUGGACCAUCCUCAU